UUGUCUUCUUGAAUUUUGAAAUAUAUUCCCUUCACCUUUGAUUCUUUGAACCCCAUUCCUUUUGGAAUUGCUAUAUGCUCUUUCCUUUACUAGUUUCUUCUAUUUAUAACCAAAACAUACCAUGCUCAUGACCAAUAUCUAACAAUUCCUGUUCUUGUUCAGUUGCUCUUGUUAUUGUUUUUUCUAUUAUAAUUGGGCAUGGAUCACGUGGCUGAAGCUUAGAGGACGGACCUUAUGACGAUACUCGACAUGUUCUUAAUAGGCAGUCACAGCACCCGGAGUUACGCGGUGACUUCACCAUCUUUUCAGCUCCAAAUUCAAAAAAAUCCGAGUUUUAUCUUUUCGGAAAGCUCUCGACGAAGCGAUCAAGAUCGAUGUACAUAGUCCAUCGACAUGGUCAAAUUAUGGCGCCAUAAUUUAGGCAUUUUAAGGAUUUGAACUAGAUUUCCUUUUUCUGGAAAAAUUCCCAUUUCUUCUAAAUUCUCAGCAUAAUCCUAGUCAUUUUGGUAAUUAAUUAAUUUUCAUUUCCUUUUUCCUUAGGAUUUGAUUUUUUUUUCCUUUUUUUCUUAAUCCUAUAGUUUUCUCCUCCAAAACUCAAGUUAUGUAAUGUUAAUUAUCAGUUUUGGUUAUAAUAAAAUAGCAUAGUAUAUCUCUCAGUAGUUUCCAAUUUAUGUGGUAUUCUUCGGAAUCAACAAAACUUUAAUGCCUUUAUUCCUAGUAUUCGUUUAAAAUUAGCGGAUGUAGAGAAAUAUUUCUUUUUUCGUAUUCCGUGUUAAUCAACAGACUUGAAUUUGUUUAGCCUUCCUGUUUUGCAGUCAGCUCUUGCAAACCUCAUUGGACUUGUCGGAGAGACAAAUGUUCAGGUGAAUUGUUUCCAAUGCCGAUUUUAUGUUUCUUGCAUUUCUUUGUGUUUCUUAUCACUGCAAUCUUAUCUUAUGAGAGCUGCGUAUUUAUUUAGGUGAAUUUGGAUGUUACAUUUUGUAAGGUGAAGAGCAGAAGAAAUUGGAUGUCCUAUCAAAAGAAGUUUUUGUCAAGGCUUUGAUAAACAGGGGGCGUACGGUAAGUUCUUAGUUUCAUAUGUUUACUUUUUCGAUGAUCUUGAAGAUUGAAGGAUGCGUAUGGGUGCUCUAAGAAAGUUCUCAAUCAGUUGGAGCUUACAAAAUCUAUAGUACACUUGAAGAUAAGAAAGAAAAUCUCUUGUUUUUUCAGGUUGAUGAUUGUUUUGUCCUCAUGAUCAUAUUGGUUUUGUAGUGCAUUCUUGUAUCUGAAGAGAACGAAACAUCAAAGCGAGGAAGGUAUAUGCCGAUUGUUUCUGUUUUAAUCAGAUAUCCAUUUAGUACGUACUAUCAAAGAUUAUUUCUGAUGUCUAGCUUUCUUCCAAUUAUGUCAGAUACUUUGUUAUGUUUGAUCCACUGGACGGGUCUUCAAACAUCGACUAUAUGUUUCAGUAGGAACCGUAUGGUCCCUCUAUCCGAGAUAUACCUUGCUAUCUAUUGUUUUGGCCUUGACAUUCUUCCUUUGAACUUCUAUUAGAACCAUUUGUUUGCUUGUUAUGGAUAUAGAUAUUGGGAUUUAUAGGGUGAAAGAUGAGAAUUCAACUGUUGAUGAUGUGUUGCAAUGUGGGAAGAAUAUGUUAGCUGCAGGCUAUUGCAUGUACGAAAGCUAUUGCACGGUAGAUUUAUAUUGUUACCUUCUCUCUGUAAAUAAUUUGUCAAUGUUCAAAAGAUCAGUGCCAUCCAUUUUUGGUUAUGGGAGAGUUUAGGUUCUAAAAGGAAAACAACAUCUUCUGCUGCUACUUCAUUUGAGUACAUUGUGCUGCUUAGUUCAGCAAAUGAAUGGUUCUCAAGCUUUUAUCGAACAUUGAUUUUGUUUUUUCAAUGUUUUCAACUGGAAUGACACUGUUCCGAUGGCAUUUAAGGUGUUGUAGCUAGUCCUUAGCAUUGGAAACAGUGUCAAUGGCUUCACGCUCGAUCCAUCUAUUGGGGAGUUCAUAUUAACUCACCCAGAUAUCAAGGUAUAUAUGCAUCUCCGGUAACUAGAUUAACAAAGAAAAGUUUCUUGUACCAUAUCUAUGUUUCAGUUUGAACAUAGGAGCUCUAUUUUUUGUACUAUAUUGUUUCCAGAAUUGUGUUCUGUCGAUUGCCUCUCUACAUGUACAGGUUUCGAAGAAAGGAAAGUUCUAUUCGAUAAAUGAAGGAAACGCCAAAUAUUAGGAUGAACCAACUGCGAAGUAUGUGUAGCCAACUUUGGUGAUCACCAUCUUGCUAUUCACCAUAGAUUAUGGUCUUUUACACAUGACAAAUCCCCGUAGAUUGAAUUAUGCCUCAAAACCAACAACACCGAUCUGUACUGUUUUCUCAGGUAUGUUGAGAAAUGCAAAUUCCCUGAGGAUGGUUCGUCACCAAAGUCCCUCAGAUACAUUGGAAGGUAUAUGUUUUUCACCAAUUUCAAGUUUUGAGAUGUUAAGAACAUUGCUCGUGUUUUGGAACUUGUAAAAUUUCUACAAUUCUUGUUGUAGUAUGGUAGAAGAUGUUCAUCAAACAUUGCUCUACGGGGGGUAUAUUUAUGUACCCUGCUGAUAAGAAAAGCCCAAAUGAAAAAUUGCGGUAUAUGUCAUUUUUAAAGUUAAUUUUCUCAAAUUCGUUGGAGCUCACUAACAUUUUCCUGAUUACCGCUUCAUUGUUUCCAAAAUUGGAUUUGACUUCACUGAAAACUUCAAUGAAACAGUGUUCUUGAAGGUGCAAGCAACGAGUAUUGACUUCU
rnacentral:lncRNA from 1 species